UCCAGCCAUCGCACCCUGAACACGCCCAAUCUUGUCUGAUUUCGGAAGCUCAGCAGGGUCGGCCUUGGUUAGUCCUUGGAUGGGAGGAGAGCAGGGCUCGUUGGCUGGGC
rnacentral:rRNA from 1 species